CUGGCGGCAGCCUUAACACAUGCAAGUCGAGCGGAUGACGGGAGCUUGCUCCUUGAUUCAGCGGCGGACGGGUGAGUAAUGCCUAGGAAUCUGCCUGGUAGUGGGGGACAACGUUUCGAAAGGAACGCUAAUACCGCAUACGUCCUACGGGAGAAAGCAGGGGACCUUCGGGCCUUGCGCUAUCAGAUGAGCCUAGGUCGGAUUAGCUUGUUGGUGAGGUAAUGGCUCACCAAGGCGACGAUCCGUAACUGGUCUGAGAGGAUGAUCAGUCACACUGGAACUGAGACACGGUCCAGACUCCUACGGGAGGCAGCAGUGGGGAAUAUUGGACAAUGGGCGAAAGCCUGAUCCAGCCAUGCCGCGUGUGUGAAGAAGGUCUUCGGAUUGUAAAGCACUUUAAGUUGGGAGGAAGGGUUGUAGAUUAAUACUCUGCAAUUUUGACGUUACCGACAGAAUAAGCACCGGCUAACUCUGU
rnacentral:rRNA from 1 species